rnacentral:rRNA from 1 species
GACGAACGCUGGCGGCGUGCCUAAUACAUGCAAGUCGAACGAGAGCGACCGGUGCUUGCACUGGUCAAUCUAGUGGCGAACGGGUGAGUAACACGUGGGUAACCUGCCCAUCAGAGGGGGAUAACAUUCGGAAACGGAUGCUAAAACCGCAUAGGUCUUCGAACCGCAUGGUUUGAAGAGGAAAAGAGGCGCAAGCUUCUGCUGAUGGAUGGACCCGCGGUGCAUUAGCUAGUUGGUGAGGUAACGGCUCACCAAGGCCGUGAUGCAUAGCCGACCUGAGAGGGUGAUCGGCCACAUUGGGACUGAGACACGGCCCAAACGCCUACGGGAGGCAGCAGUAGGGAAUCUUCCGCAAUGGACGCAAGUCGGACGGAGCAACGCCGCGUGAGUGAAGAAGGUUUUCGGAUCGUAAAACUCUGUUGUUAGAGAAGAAUAAGUGCUAGAGUAACUGUUAGCGCCUUGACGGUAGCUAACCAGAAAGCCACGGCUAACUACGUG